AUUGAACGCUGGCGGCAGGCCUAACACAUGCAAGUCGAGCGGCAGCGGAAAGUAGCUUGCUACUUUGCCGGCGAGCGGCGGACGGGUGAGUAAUGUCUGGGAAACUGCCUGAUGGAGGGGGAUAACUACUGGAAACGGUAGCUAAUACCGCACAACGUCGCAAGACCAAAGAGGGGGACCUUCGGGCCGCUUGCCAUCAGAUGUGCCCAGAUGGGAUUAGCUAGUAGGUGGGGUAAUGGCUCACCUAGGCGACGAUCCCUAGCUGGUCUGAGAGGUUGACCCUGCACACUGGAAAUGAGACACGGUCCAGACUCCUACGGGAGGCAGCAGUGGGGAAUAUUGCACAAUGGGCGCAAGCCUGAUGCAGCCAUGCCGCGUGUAUGAAGAAGGCCUUCGGGUUGUAAAGUACUUUCAGCGGGGAGGAAGGUGUUGAGGUUAAUAACCUCAGCAAUUGACGUUACCCGCAGAAGAAGCACCGGCUAACUCCGUGCCAGCCGCCGCGGUAA
rnacentral:rRNA from 1 species